rnacentral:rRNA from 1 species
ACUAUAGCUUGACACUGAACAUUGAGCCUUGAUGUGUAGGAUAGGUGGGAGGCUUUGAAGCGUGGACGCCAGUCUGCGUGGAGCCAACCUUGAAAUACCACCCUUUAAUGUUUGAUGUUCUAACGUUGGCCCCUUACCGGGGUUGCGGACAGUGUCUGGUGGGUAGUUUGACUGGGGCGGUCUCCUCCCAAAGCGUAACGGAGGAGCACGAAGGUUAGCUAAUCCUGGUCGGACAUCAGGAGGUUAGUGCAAUGGCAUAAGCUAGCUUGACUGCGAGCGUGACGGCGCGAGCAGGUGCGAAAGCAGGUCAUAGUGAUCCGGUGGUUCUGAAUGGAAGGGCCAUCGCUCAACGGAUAAAAGGUACUCCGGGGAUAACAGGCUGAUACCGCCCAAGAGUUCAUAUCGACGGCGGUGUUUGGCACCUCGAUGUCGGCUCAUCACAUCCUGGGGCUGAAGUAGGUCCCAAGGGUAUGGCUGUUCGCCAUUUAAAGUGGUACGCGAGCUGGGUUUAGAACGUCGUGAGACAGUUCGGUCCCUAUCUGCCGUGGGCGCUGGAGAAUUGAGGGGGGCUGCUCCUAGUACGAGAGGACCGGAGUGGACGCAUCACUGGUGUUCGGGUUGUCAUGCCAAUGGCACUGCCCGGUAGCUAAAUGCGGAAGAGAUAAGUGCUGAAAGCAUCUAAGCACGAAACUUGCCCCG